AGCUCCAAUAGCGUAUAUUAAAGUUGUUGCAGUUAAAAAGCUCGUAGUUGGAUUUCUGGUAAGGGAGAAGAGAGCACUGUGUGACUACUCGAACCCUUGCCAUCCUUCUGUUAACCGUCAGGGACGUCAAAAGCCUUGGCGGAGCUCAGAUAUUUUACCUUGAGAAAAUUAGAGUGUUUCAGGCAGGCUAAGUGCCGGGAUACAUUAGCAUGGAAUAAUGGAACAGGACUUUAGCCUCUUCUGUUGGUCUGAGGGGUUGAAGUAAUGAUUAAUAGGGAUAGUUGGGGGCAUUAGUACUUAACUGUCAGAGGUGAAAUUCUCGGAUUUGUUAAAGACUAACUUAUGCGAAAGCAUUUGCCAAGGAUGUUUUCA
rnacentral:rRNA from 1 species